rnacentral:misc_RNA from 1 species
CUGGGUUUCGGACCUCGUGUCCACUCACCCGCCCUUUGUCAUAUACAUCCACAUCAUUUCGGCCCUUGGCUCUCAGGCGCCCCCACCAUUAGUUUGGCGGGGUACCGCCUGUUGGCCGCGGGUCGGCAUUGCAAACCCACAUGGAUUUCUGAAGUCUGAUACAAUUUUUUAAACGAAAUUA